ACAGUUUGAUCCUGGCUCAUGACGAACGCUGGCGGCGUGCCUAAGACAUGCAAGUCGAGCGGGGCUUCGGGGCUUCGGCCCUGAAGCCCANCGGCGGACGGGUGAGUAACACGUGGAUAACCUGCCCUCUGCUCUGGGAUAACAGGCCGAAAGGCCUGCUAAUACCGGAUAAGCUCACGGUCCCGCAUGGGGCUGGGAGAAAAGGCGCUGGAGUCAGUGGCGCUGGCAGAGGAGGGGUCCGCGGCCCAUUAGCUGGUUGGCGGGGUAACGGCCCACCAAGGCGACGAUGGGUAGCCGGCCUGAGAGGGCGACCGGCCACACUGGGACUGAGACACGGCCCAGACUCCUACGGGAGGCAGCAGUCGGGAAUUUUGCACAAUGGCCGAAAGGCUGAUGCAGCAACGCCGCGUGAGCGAAGAAGGCCUUCGGGUUGUAAAGCUCUGUUGCCUGCGAAGAAGGGCCCUGUCAGGAAAUGGGCGGGGUUUGACGGUAGCAGGCGAGGAAGCCCCGGCAAACUACGUGCCAGCAGCCGCGGUAAUACGUAGGGGGCGAGCGUUGUCCGGAAUUACUGGGCGUAAAGGGCGUGUAGGCGGCCUGUUAAGUCAGGGGAGAAANACCGGGGCUCAACCCCGGGGGUGCCUUNNAAACUGGCNGGCUUGAGUGCUCUAGAGGGCAGUGGAAUUNCCCGGUGUAGCAGUGAAAUGCGUAGAGAUCGGGAGGAACACCAGUGGCGAAGGCGGCUGCCUGGGGAGUCACUGACGCUGAGGCGCGAAAGCUAGGGGAGCAAACAGGAUUAGAUACCCUGGUAGUCCUAGCCGUAAACGAUGAGUGCUAUGUGUGAGGGGUAUCGACCCCCCUCGUGCAGGAGCUAACGCACUAAGCACUCCGCCUGGGGAGUACGGCCGCAAGGUUGAAACUCAAAGGAAUUGACGGGGGCCCGCACAAGCAGCGGAGCAUGUGGUUUAAUUCGAAGCAACGCGUAGAACCUUACCAGGGCUUGACAUCCACCGAACCCUGCAGAGAUGCGGGGGUGCCUCUCUUCGGAGAGGAACGGUGAGACAGGUGGUGCAUGGUUGCCGUCAGCUCGUGUCGUGAGAUGUUGGGUUAAGUCCCGCAACGAGCGCAACCCCUGUCGCAUGUUGCCAGCACGUUAUGGUGGGCACUCAUGCGAGACUGCCGGUGACAAACCGGAGGAAGGUGGGGAUGACGUCAAAUCAUCAUGCCCCUUAUGUCCUGGGCUACACACGUGCUACAAUGGCCGCCACAGAGCGCCCCGAACCCGCGAGGGGGAGGCAAUCGCGAAAGGCGGUCCCAGUUCGGAUCGCAGGCUGCAACUCGCCUGCGUGAAGUCGGAGUUGCUAGUAAUCGCGGAUCAGCACGCCGCGGUGAAUACGUUCCCGGGCCUUGUACACACCGCCCGUCACACCAUGGGAGCUGGCAACACCCGAAGUCGGUGAGCUAACCCGCAAGGGAGGCAGCCGCCGAAGGUGGGGCCGGUGACUGGGGUGAAGUCGUAACAAGGUAGCCGUAUCGGAAGGUGCGGCUGGAUCACCUCCUUUCUG
rnacentral:rRNA from 1 species